GACGAACGCUGGCGGCGCGCCUAACACAUGCAAGUCGAACGAGCGAGAGGAGGUUUACUUUCUCAAGCGAGUGGCGAACGGGUGAGUAACGCGUGAGGAACCUGCCUCAAAGAGGGGGACAACAGUUGGAAACGACUGCUAAUACCGCAUAAGCCCACGACCCGGCAUCGGGUAGAGGGAAAAGGAGCAAUCCGCUUUGAGAUGGCCUCGCGUCCGAUUAGCUAGUUGGUGAGGUAAUGGCCCACCAAGGCGACGAUCGGUAGCCGGACUGAGAGGUUGAACGGCCACAUUGGGACUGAGACACGGCCCAGACUCCUACGGGAGGCAGCAGUGGGGAAUAUUGCACAAUGGGGGAAGCCCUGAUGCAGCGACGCCGCGUGGAGGAAGAAGGUCUUCGGAUUGUAAACUCCUGUUGUUGAGGAAGAUAAUGACGGUACUCAACAAGGAAGUGACGGCUAACUACGUG
rnacentral:rRNA from 1 species